rnacentral:rRNA from 1 species
AGAGUUUGAUCCUGGCUCAGAUUGAACGCUGGCGGUAUGCUUAACACAUGCAAGUCGAACGGUAACAGGCCUUCGGGCGCUGACGAGUGGCGGACGGGUGCGUAACGCGUAGGAAUCUGCCUAUUAGUGGGGGACAACGUGGGGAAACUCACGCUAAUACCGCAUACGCCCUACGGGGGAAAGGAGGGGAUCUUCGGACCUUUCGCUAAUAGAUGAGCCUGCGUUGGAUUAGCUAGUUGGUAGGGUAAAGGCCUACCAAGGCGACGAUCCAUAGCUGGUCUGAGAGGACGAUCAGCCACACUGGGACUGAGACACGGCCCAGACUCCUACGGGAGGCAGCAGUGGGGAAUAUUGGACAAUGGGCGCAAGCCUGAUCCAGCAAUACCGCGUGUGUGAAGAAGGCCUGAGGGUUGUAAAGCACUUUUAAUCGGGAGGAACACCUGUCAGCUAAUACCUGGCAGUAUGACAUUACCGAUAGAAAAAGCACCGGUUAACUCCGUGCCAGUAGUUGUGGUAAUACGGAGGGUGCAAGCGUUAAUCGGAAUUACUGGGCGUAAAGCGUGCGUAGGCGGUUAUUUAAGUCAGAUGUGAAAGCCCCGGGCUUAACCUGGGAACUGCAUUUGAUACUGGGUAACUAGAGUUGAGUAGAGGAGAGGGGAAUUUCAGGUGUAGCGGUGAAAUGUGUAGAGAUCUGAAGGAAUAUUAGUGGUGAAGGUGCCUCUCUGGACUCAAACUGACGCUGAGGUACGAAAGCGUGGGUAGUAAACAGGAUUAGAUAUCCUGGUAGUCCACGCCGUAAACGAUGUCAACUAGCCGUUGGUCUUAUUCGUAAGAUUAGUGGCGUAGUUAACGCAUUAAGUUGACCGCCUGGGGAGUACGGCCGCAAGGUUAAAACUCAAAUGAAUUGACGG